AUGGACACCGCAAGAAGAAGCAACAUUAAAAUCGACAACCAAAAAGACUUUGGAUUUUUCACAGAUGAAAAGUUGUUUGAUUUUUUCUGUCAAAACAAGGUAAAGAUGUCAACAAUAGAAAAGCCGUUGAUGCUCCUCCGACAUCUCAAGGACAAUAGACUCAUUACAGAUGAGCUUUAUCAAAAGCUUGAGAACACUGGUGGAGAUAAUGAUAUGUACAGUGCAUUGGAGUACAUUGAAAAACGUGGAAAGAAGAAUGUUAGAAAGUUCUGGGAACGUGUGGCCCAGGAGCACAUAUUACAGCGUUACUCUCAACUCUCUGAAAUCACUGCAGCUCUGAUGGACUCUCUUGAGGGUCAGCCAAAGAAAAUAAUAAGAGAAAGAGUCGAGGAUCGAAGCACAGGAAAAGAAAGAGAGGUUAAAAAGAGAAAGACAGAGAGCAACUCUGUGAGUGACCAAGCUGGACCAUCAUCAUCAAGCAUCAGCAGCCAGAGGACGACAGAUGAACAUGUGAAGAGAGAUUCUCCAGAUCUUCCGAGCUCUCCAGACUCCAGCACAGAAUUGCCGUUUUCCCAUCCGUCCGUGCACUGUAAAGCAGAGGAAAUCUGGAACAUGGAUAAACACAAGAGAUUUCUUCCUGUCACAUGUGGGGAUAAACAGGCCUUAUUGGACAGAGAUGCAUUGUAUGAGAGAAAGAGGGACUGCAUUAAAUGUGACACAGGAAUGAUCUCACCUUUUCUAUUUGAGGAAAUGGGUGGAAAAGAAACACACAAGUCCUGGAAAACAAGUAUAUUAUGCCAAGGCAUAACCCUCAAGACUCUGAUUGAGAUGAAUAUUUUGAAGUUACCCAAACAUAAAGGAAAGUUUACACUUCGUAAAUGAUGUGCCGUGCAUCACAUUAUUUAGCAUUUUCAGUCAGUGAAUAUACUUACUACAAAUUUUGAAAAAUAUCCAACCUAUUUUAGUGCAAUUUUAGCCAUUUGUAACUUGAUUUUACAAGGCUUUCACUUUCAGUUAUUCUACUGGUAAAAAAUAAAUAAAUAAAUAAAUAAAUAAAACAUCUCGUUUUGCUUCUUGAAAUAGCACACUGGUUUCUGUUAUUAAUUCUAACAAUCAUAAAUGCACAUAUAAUACAAAUGUUUAACUAAAAUUUAUUAAAACUCAAAUUUUGUCAUGAUAAAAUGUGGAUUAGAUUUUUAUUCAACCUAGAUUAGUCAAGUGUGUGUGGGUGUGUGUGUAUAUGUGUGUUUGUCUCUAUCUAUCUGUUUCUAUCUAUCUACACUGAAAAAAAAAAGAUUUGUUGGAUUUACUCAACUGAAUUAUGGACAUUAGUUCCACACAUUCAGUUUGAGUUCAGAGUAUCCUAUGCAUUUAUGCGGUUUCAUUAUAAUAUGGUUGUGUUAAUCAUAUGCAAUUUCAAAAAGUAAUGUGUACAUAAUCUUUUUAAGUUAUACUUACAUAAUUCAGUUACGUUAGUUUAACAUUAAUAUUUUAUUUCAGAUAUAUGCUUCUAUCAUGUUAAUCCUGUGCAAUUAAAUCAAG
rnacentral:lncRNA from 1 species